GUAGCAUGAUGGGGGUAUUUUCUAAUCAAUUCCUUUAAUCUCUCCCAAGUCUUAUGAAACAUCUCCCCAUCCAAUUGAAAAAAAUUAGUUAAAGCCUUUCUGAUUUG